CUUUUGGAGAGUUUGAUCCUGGCUCAGAACGAACGCUGGCGGUACGCCUAACACAUGCAAGUCGAACGGUAACAGGGACUUCGGUCCGCUGACGAGUGGCGAACGGGUGAGUAACGCGUGGAUAAUAUGCCCAGAGGUGGGGGAUAACGGUUGGAAACAGCCGCUAAUACCGCAUAAUCCCUAAGGGGGAAAGAUGCAAAUCGCCUUUGGAGUAGUCCGCGUCGGAUUAGCUAGUUGGUGGGGUAAAGGCCUACCAAGGCAACGAUCCGUAGCUGGUCUUAGAGGAUGAUCAGCCACACUGGGACUGAGACACGGCCCAGACUCCUACGGGAGGCAGC
rnacentral:rRNA from 1 species